GACAAGUUCGUUUUGCUCUAGGACGUGUAACUGCCAGCUAAUUAUUAUCUCAAUAUUGCAUUACUGAUAUUUAUACUUUUGUAAAAUAGUAGAGUAUGGAAUUGGAAAAGUUAAAGAAAACAGAAACCCUUGCAAUGAGAAGGAAAUUGAUUGGGCAAUCUUGCAGGCUUUUUUAUUCGGAUGACCCGGUGAAAAUAGUGAGGGGUCGGGGGCAAUACUUGUAUGACGAGAACGGCGUGCGGUACUUGGACUGCAUCAGCAACGUUCAGCAUGUGGGCCACUGUCAUCCCAGCAUUACACGAGCUGCAACAGCUCAGAUGGACCUCCUGAAUGCAAAUUCACGCUUCCUGCACGACAAUAUUGUCCUAUAUGCAGACCGGCUGGCUGCAACCUUCCCAGAGAAACUGGCCGUCUUCUACUUUGUCAACUCCGGUUCAGAGGCCAAUGAUCUUGCUCUUCGUUUGGCCCAGCAGUACACCCAACAUGAAGACGUUAUUGUUCUUGACCAUGCAUACCAUGGGCAUCUUAUGUCCCUCAUCGACAUUAGUCCAUACAAGUUCCGGAAACUGGCAGGACAGAAAGAAUGGGUCCAUGUGGUCCCUUUACCAGACACCUACAGGGGAAUAUACAAAGAGGACCAUCCCAACCCAGCCCAGGCAUAUGCUGAUACUGUAAAAGACAUGAUUGAUGAGGUGCAUGGAAAAGGUCGAAAGAUCUCUGCAUUCUUCGCCGAAUCAUUGCCAAGUGUUGGAGGGCAAAUAGUUUUGCCCAAAGGAUACUCAACUAAAGUUGCAGAAUAUGUGCACUCAGCUGGGGGAGUGUUUGUGGCAGACGAGGUGCAGACAGGCUUUGGACGAGUGGGAAGUCACUUUUGGGCUUUCCAGUUGCAGGGAGAUAAUUUCUGCCCCGAUAUAGUAACCAUGGGCAAACCAAUGGGCAAUGGACACCCCCUCGCCUGUGUGGCAACCACAGCAGAGAUAGCCGGGGCUUUCACAGCCAAUGGAGUAGAGUACUUCAACACAUUUGGAGGGAAUCCCGUUUCCUGUGCGAUUGGCCUGGCAGUCCUCGAUGUAAUGGAGAAAGAGGACCUAAAAGGAAAUUCCACACGAGUGGGAGCAUAUCUAAAAGACCUGCUCACAAAUCUACAAACCAGACAUCAAAUUAUCGGGGAUGUGAGGGGUGCAGGGCUGUUUGUGGGGCUUGAGUUGGUGACUGACAGAAAACAAAAGACUCCUGCCACAGAUGCCGCAUCCAGGCUGGUGAAGAGGUUGAAGGAGGAGGACCAUAUCUUUGUCAGCACAGAUGGUCCCUCGGAGAAUGUCAUCAAGUUUAAGCCUCCCAUGUGUUUCAGCAUGGAAGAUGCAGAGCUGGUGACGCAAAGCAUUGACCGCAUCCUCACUGGUUAGUUACAUAGGCAUGGCUUUUUAAAAAUGGAUCAUCCUUAACCCAGAAAAUGAAGACAUCUAAGACAUUGCAUAUUCCUGACAAUCAAAGGAACAAAGUGAAAGAUGAAGAUCACCUCUUCAGCUAACAAACUGAAGUUAUGUUACUGUGAUUCUCAACUUGAAGUGAUGACAGCCACAGCGGAUCACAACACACCACCUAGAAGACCAUAAACACAAGAAGACACAAACUGGAACACUAAUGAACUUUCAUACCAAGCUGGCAUCAAAACAUUUUUAACAAGUUAUUCUGAUUCACACUCCCUUUUACACACACUGUAGCAGUUUCAAAAAUAACUAAUGUAGGAUCAACACUCACCGAUGACAGGUUCUCAAGACACAUUAUGGUGAAAAUCAGCACUUACCGGAGCACUACCUUUUAACUCUUGGACUUAUGCACAAAAACAUCCAAGUAUCGCAGUUUCACAUCUAAGGGGUGAGCAUCAAAACUUAAGCCAGUUAUCCUGCAGGCAGCAAGGCCCUUUGCCACAGCUUCCCAAAAGAGGUAUCCGUUGAUAUUUUAGCAUUACCGUUGACAGAACAAGCAAGCCAUUUAACAACACAAAACAUUUAACAUUAAUUUUACAAACAACAAAAGGAUCCACAUGUAAUAUAAACCAAAAAGUUUAUUUCUACCAAUUUGCCCAAGACACUAGAGGAAUGAGUUUCCAGUGAGAGAGGGAAUGCCCUCUUACAUUAACAGGCUUGCGCUUGGUUGUAUCAUUACACUAGUAAAGCCACUUAAAAUUGCAGACAUGACGGGGAAAGUCUCCUUAAAGCUAAAAUAAAGGAAAAAAAAUGCUGGUUGUUCUCGUCUACUUAUCUUGCUUCACCCCAUAUCUGAAGCCAUGCAACUCGCAUCAAACACUCAGCACGGGAGGAAAAUAACUAAGAGCUAGACACACCGAAAGAAAAAAAAAAAAAGCAAAAUUGAUUUAUUUGUGAGCUUUAAAAGCUCUGCUGUUGCUUGUUGGUAAAUCCAGUAGACAUGUAAAAUACAACCAUACAAUACAUUAGAUUCAAAAAGGUACCAAAAAGUACAGUAAAAAUAACACUUCCAAUUCUGGAAAUGUAAAUGACAACACAAUAUAAAAUAAAAAGUGGAAAAGUGA